rnacentral:rRNA from 1 species
UAGGGAAUCUUCGGCAAUGGACGAAAGUCUGACCGCGCAACGCCGCGUGAGUGAAGAAGGUUUUCGGAUCGUAAAACUCUGUUGUUAGAGAAGAACAAGGACGUUAGUAACUGAACGUCCCCUGACGGUAUCUAACCAGAAAGCCACGGCUAACUACGUGCCAGCAGCCGCGGUAAUACGUAGGUGGCAAGCGUUGUCCGGAUUUAUUGGGCGUAAAGCGAGCGCAGGCGGUUUCUUAAGUCUGAUGUGAAAGCCCCCGGCUCAACCGGGGAGGGUCAUUGGAAACUGGGAGACUUGAGUGCAGAAGAGGAGAGUGGAAUUCCAUGUGUAGCGGUGAAAUGCGUAGAUAUAUGGAGGAACACCAGUGGCGAAGGCGGCUCUCUGGUCUGUAACUGACGCUGAGGCUCGAAAGCGUGGGGAGCAAACAGG